UAGGGAAUAUUGGUAAUCUGGGAAACCGGGAACCAGCAACGCCGCGUGCGCGAUGAAGGCCUUCGGGUUGUAAAGCGCUUUUUGAGAGGAUGAGGAAGGACAGUACUCUUAGAAUAAGCCUCGGCUAACUACGUGCCAGCAGCCGCGGUAAAACGUAGGAGGCGAGCGUUAUCCGGAUUUACUGGGCGUAAAGCGUGUGUAGGCGGUUUGAUAAGUUGGAUGUGAAAGCUCCCGGCUCAACUGGGAGAGGUCGUUCAAAACUAUCAGACUUGAGAGUGGUAGAGGGAGGUGGAAUUCCGCGUGUAGUGGUGAAAUGCGUAGAUAUGCGGAGGAACACCAGUGGCGAAAGCAGCCUCCUGGCCCAUUUCUGACGCUCAGACGCGAAAGCUAGGGUAGCAAACG
rnacentral:rRNA from 1 species